CAGCUGUUGACCUGUGCUCUUGGGCCACCCACCCCCAGGCUGGGUAUGAACAACGUGGCCCCCACCACCCUGGAGGGAGCCCAGAGCCCAAUAGGCAGGCCUUUGGUGUGGCCCUGCAGGCCCACAGCGACACCAUGUGGCGGCGAGAAGAAACUGCAGCAGAGUCGGCACAGGACCCCAGCUUCCAUCCUCACGUUGUGUGGACAUGGUCCAGCUUCCUGCCGCGGACCAUGAGCAAUCCAAGGGUAGGGGAGCCUCAAGAGGGAGACACUGAGCCUUUACGUAAUGAGGCAGGGAGGGGUUCAAGCAAUUAAUUGAGAAAGGAUGUGACAGGACUGGCACCUGGUCACUUUGUGGCCGUGAGCACCAGCUCCGCCUAUCCCCUCUGCAGGGCAGAAGGGACAGUGCUGCGGGAGGCGGAGGUGCUGUGGCUCUGGGAAGGCUGAAAAGGGACGGCUGCAAAGGAGAAGAGCUUCGAGUCCUUUCCAUCAGGAGAAAAACCCGGUCAGCUGUGGAGGAGCACUGCACAGGAGUCAGAAAGUGGAGUCUGGGCGUGACCUUGCACCUGACCAGCCUGGGGCUCUAGGUCCGCCACAUCUGGACUAAUCUCCUGUGUCCUGAGCUCCCAGGACCCCAGAGGCAAGCAUGGAGGGGCCACGCUGGCAGAACCCACAGUGGCUUAGGACGAGCUCCUGCACAGCGGCCUGUUUCCCAAUUGCAUCGUGUAUCUCUUUGCCUCUCUUGGCUCAGCCAUGGCCCCAGCCCCAGGCCAUCCAAGGGGCAGCCUGGUGAGGUUUCUUCAACUUUGCUAAUGACUUGACCUACAGUCUUAAGUCAAGAAGGUGUCGCUCUCCUUUGUGAUGGCUGGACGCACAGGAGCUGUGGUCAGGAUGGGGCUAGAGGAGCUGAAAUCCCAGGGCAACAAGGGUAUUUAAAAACACAUCGCAGGAGAAACAGCUAAAGAGUCUUGGAACCAGGAAUCAUAAGCUGUUUGAUGGGAUGAACUAUCUUGGGAGUGAUGAGGUCCCCAUCACUGAAAGUAUUCAAGCAGAGAGAGUCAUGGAAUUAGGAGACGGAAGAGCAUCAGACACUGAAUGAAGUCUGCACUACAUGAGAUGAAGAACCCUUCCAGCCCUGAGGCCGAGCAGCCACUUCUCUGGAGCAGGCUGGCCCAUCUAUGUCCAGGAGGCCAGCCCCAGGCUAGCUUCUGAGCACGGGGAGCUAAGUCCUUCGCCUUCCAGAGACUGCACAAAGUGUGUGCCACCUCCACAGAACCCUCCUCAUCCACCCGAGAACUCUUCCUCACCUGACCUAAAGCUCUUCAUUUCAUACCACCUUUCAAGCGAAUUAAGGAUUAAUUGCCAGCAGCAAUCUCUGUCUUUGUUUGUUUUCUCUAAUGGAAAACCUUUCUCUCGGGAGGGUAAGGUUAUCAGUCAUUCACAGCUCAGUUGUGCUGUGUUUGAUUAGACUGGACGGCAAAGCUGAGUCCUGUUUCGGCUCUGUGCGAUCCUGGGCCCCUUGGAGCCUGUUUUCUCAUCUAUGAAAUGGGAGUAAUAAUAGUGCUUAUUGCACAGUUGUUUUAAGAACUAAAAAUUUAAAUUGCCUAGAAUGUUAUACAAACAUAAGCUGCCAUAUUUUGGAAAAAUGAGCCAAGAUCAGUGGUGCCAAGGGAAGAAUGGGCAGAGGUGAGCUGUGGGCAGCCGUGGAGGAUGGUCCACGGUGUGGCUGCCAGAGGGCAUCGGGGGCCAGGCAACUCCAGAAAGGAGCUAGGAAUGUUAGAGAAAACUGCACUAACAGCCAGCAUGCGUGAAGAACUGAUUCAUACUACACCGUGGAUGAACCUCAAGAACAUUAUUCUCGGCAAAAGCAGACAGACACAAAAGGUCACAUAGCAAAUGCUUCCGUUGAUAUGAAAUGUCCAGCACUGGCAAAUCCACAGAGACAGAAAGUAGAUUAGUAAUAGCCAGCGGCUGCAGACAGGGAAGGAGGGGAGUGAUGACUUAAUGGGUACAGGGAUUUUAUUUUGGGGUAAUGAAGAUAUUUUGGAAUGAGACAGAGCUGGUGGCUGCAUAGAGCACUAUGAAAGUGCUAAUUGCCAUUGAAUUAUUCACUUCAAAACAGUUAAUUUAACGCUAUGUGAAUUUCACCUCAAUAAAAAAGGUACA
rnacentral:lncRNA from 10 species